rnacentral:rRNA from 1 species
GAUGAACGCUGGCGGCGUGCCUAAUACAUGCAAGUCGAGCGAACAGACGAGGAGCUUGCUCCUUUGACGUUAGCGGCGGACGGGUGAGUAACACGUGGGUAACCUACCUAUAAGACUGGGAUAACUUCGGGAAACCGGAGCUAAUACCGGAUAAUAUUUCGAACCGCAUGGUUCGAUAGUGAAAGAUGGCUCUGCUAUCACUUAUAGAUGGACCUGCGCCGUAUUAGCUAGUUGGUAAGGUAACGGCUUACCAAGGCAACGAUACGUAGCCGACCUGAGAGGGUGAUCGGCCACACUGGAACUGAGACACGGUCCAGACUCCUACGGGAGGCAGCAGUAGGGAAUCUUCCGCAAUGGGCGAAAGCCUGACGGAGCAACGCCUCGUGAGUGAUGAAGGUCUUCGGAUCGUAAAACUCUGUUAUUAGGGAAGAACAAACGUGUAAGUAACUGUGCACGUCUUGACGGUACCUAAUCAGAAAGCCACGGCUAACUACGUG